GUGUCAGCCGCCGCGGUAAAACCAGCACCUCAAGUGGUCAGGAGGAUUAUUGGGCCUAAAGCAUCCGUAGCCUGUUCUAUAAGUUUCCGGUUAAAUCCAUUAGCUCAACUAAUGGGCCGCCGAAAAUACUGUAGAACUAGGGAGUGGGAGAGGUAGACGGUAUUCGGUAGGAAGGGGUAAAAUCCUUUGAUCUAUUGAGGACCACCUGUGGCGAAGGCGGUCUACCAGAACACGUUCGACGGUGAGGGAUGAAAGCUGGGGGAGCAAACCGGAUUAGAUACCCGGGUAGUCCCAGCUGUAAACGAUGCAGACUCGGUGAUGCGCUGGCUUGUGGCCAGUGCAGUGCCGCAGGGAAGCCGUUAAGUUUGCCGCCUGGGAAGUACGUACGCAAGUAUGAAACUUAAAGGAAUUGGCGGGGGAGCACCACAAGGGGUGAAGCCUGCGGUUCAAUUGGAGUCAACGCCAGAAAUCUUACCCGAAGAGACAGCAGAAUGAAGGUCAAGCUGGAGACUUUACCAGACAAGCUGAGAAGUGGUGCAUGGCCGUCGCCAGCUCGUGCCGUGAGAUGUCCUGUUAAGUCAGGUAACGAGCGAGAUCCCUGCCUCUAGUUGCCACCAUUACUCUCAGGAGUAGCGGGGCGAAUUAGCGGGACCGCCGCAGUUAAUGCGGAGGAAGGAAGGGGCCACGGCAGGUCAGUAUGCCCUGAAACUUUGGGGCCACACGCGGGCUGCAAUGGUAGUGACAAUGGGUUCCGAAUCCGAAAGGAGGAGGCAAUCCUCAAACGCUACCACAGUUAUGAUUGAGGGCUGUAACUCGCCCUCAUGAAUAUGGAAUCCCUAGUAACUGCGUGUCAUUACCGCGCAGUGAAUACGUCCCUGCUCCUUGCACACACCGCCCGUC
rnacentral:rRNA from 1 species